AUGAGGACUUUGUGUUGGAACUAUCAUGGGAUUGGCGACCCGGCGACGGUUCGAGAGCUCCACGAUCUCAUGGAGUCGUGUGCGCCGUCGGUUCUUUGCGUUGAAACUCAACUAGCGAAAAACUGAGUGGAGGGAUUGGCGGUUUCUUUAGGUUUUAAUAAUAGGUUUGUUGUUCCGAGCUCGGGACGUAGUGGUGGUCUUUGUAUUUUCUCGAAAGAUGAUAUCAAUCUUGAAAUUAAAAAUUAUUCACAUUAUCACAUUGAUUCAUGGAUUUCAAAACAACGGAAGGAUCAGUGGCGCCUCACUUGCUUCUAUGGGGAGGCGAAUCGUAUUAGAUAUAAAACAUGGUACAACAUGAAGAGAUUAAGAGGGCAAAGCACACUACCAUGGGUGUGUAUUGGAGACUUCAAUGAGGUCCUAAGGCCGGAAGAAUAGAUGGGGCCUAACCCUCGAGAUAGCUCCUAGAUUGCAGGCUUCAUGGAUGCCGUUGACAUCUGUGGUGUAACACCCCGGAUGUAA
rnacentral:rRNA from 1 species